GAUGAACGCUGGCGGCGUGCCUAAUACAUGCAAGUCGAGCGAACAGAAGAGGAGCUUGCUCCUGUGACGUUAGAGGCGGACGGGUGAGUAACACGUGGAUAACCUAUCUAUAAGACUGGGAUAAAUUCGGGAAAACGGAGCUAAUACCGGAUAAUAUAUUGAACCGCAUGGUCCAAUAGUGAAAGACGGUUUUGCUGUCACUUAUAGAUGGAUCCGCGCCGCAUUAGCUAGUUGGUAAGGUAACGGCUUACCAAGGCAACGAUGCGUAGCCGACCUGAGAGGGUGAUCGGCCACACUGGAACUGAGACACGGUCCAGACUCCUACGGGAGGCAGCAGUAGGGAAUCUUCCGCAAUGGGCGAAAGCUUGACGGAGCAACGCCGCGUGAGUGAUGAAGGUCUUCGGAUCGUAAAACUCUGUUAUUAGGGAAGAACAAAUGUGUAAGUAACUAUGCACGUCUUGACGGUACCUAAUCAGAAAGCCACGGCUAACUACGUG
rnacentral:rRNA from 1 species